GCUUGUCUCAAAGAUUAAGCCAUGCAUGUCUAAGUAUAAGCUAUUUAUACGAGUGAAACUGCGAAUGGCUCAUUAUAUCAGUUAUAGUUUAUUUGAUGGUACUUACUACAUGGAUAACCGUAGUAAUUCUAGAGCUAAUACAUGCAUCAAUACCCAACUGUUCGCGGAAGGGUAGUAUUUAUUAGGUAUAGACCAACCCUCUUCGGAGGUGCUUUGGUGAUUCAUAAUAACUUUUCGAAUCGCAUGGCUCCAUGCCGGCGAUGGAUCAUUCAAGUUUCUGCCCUAUCAGCUUU
rnacentral:rRNA from 1 species